rnacentral:rRNA from 2 species
GGGCUUGCGGCGUGCUAUACAUGCAAGUCGAACGAACUCUGGUAUUGAUUGGUGCUUGCAUCAUGAUUUACAUUUGAGUGAGUGGCGAACUGGUGAGUAACACGUGGGAAACCUGCCCAGAAGCGGGGGAUAACACCUGGAAACAGAUGCUAAUACCGCAUAACAACUUGGACCGCAUGGUCCGAGUUUGAAAGAUGGCUUCGGCUAUCACUUUUGGAUGGUCCCGCGGCGUAUUAGCUAGAUGGUGGGGUAACGGCUCACCAUGGCAAUGAUACGUAGCCGACCUGAGAGGGUAAUCGGCCACAUUGGGACUGAGACACGGCCCAAACUCCUACGGGAGGCAGCAGUAGGGAAUCUUCCACAAUGGACGAAAGUCUGAUGGAGCAACGCCGCGUGAGUGAAGAAGGGUUUCGGCUCGUAAAACUCUGUUGUUAAAGAAGAACAUAUCUGAGAGUAACUGUUCAGGUAUUGACGGUAUUUAACCAGAAAGCCACGGCUAACUACGUGCCAGCAGCCGCGGUAAUACGUAGGUGGCAAGCGUUGUCCGGAUUUAUUGGGCGUAAAGCGAGCGCAGGCGGUUUUUUAAGUCUGAUGUGAAAGCCUUCGGCUCAACCGAAGAAGUGCAUCGGAAACUGGGAAACUUGAGUGCAGAAGAGGACAGUGGAACUCCAUGUGUAGCGGUGAAAUGCGUAGAUAUAUGGAAGAACACCAGUGGCGAAGGCGGCUGUCUGGUCUGUAACUGACGCUGAGGCUCGAAAGUAUGGGUAGCAAACAGGAUUAGAUACCCUGGUAGUCCAUACCGUAAACGAUGAAUGCUAAGUGUUGGAGGGUUUCCGCCCUUCAGUGCUGCAGCUAACGCAUUAAGCAUUCCGCCUGGGGAGUACGGCCGCAAGGCUGAAGGCUGAAACUCAAAGGAAUUGACGGGGGCCCGCACAAGCGGUGGAGCAUGUGGUUUAAUUCGAAGCUACGCGAAGAACCUUACCAGGUCUUGACAUACUAUGCAAAUCUAAGAGAUUAGACGUUCCCUUCGGGGACAUGGAUACAGGUGGUGCAUGGUUGUCGUCAGCUCGUGUCGUGAGAUGUUGGGUUAAGUCCCGCAACGAGCGCAACCCUUAUUAUCAGUUGCCAGCAUUAAGUUGGGCACUCUGGUGAGACUGCCGGUGACAAACCGGAGGAAGGUGGGGAUGACGUCAAAUCAUCAUGCCCCUUAUGACCUGGGCUACACACGUGCUACAAUGGAUGGUACAACGAGUUGCGAACUCGCGAGAGUAAGCUAAUCUCUUAAAGCCAUUCUCAGUUCGGAUUGUAGGCUGCAACUCGCCUACAUGAAGUCGGAAUCGCUAGUAAUCGCGGAUCAGCAUGCCGCGGUGAAUACGUUCCCGGGCCUUGUACACACCGCCCGUCACACCAUGAGAGUUUGUAACACCCAAAGUCGGUGGGGUAACCUUUUAGGAACCAGCCGCCUAAGGUGGGACAGAUGAUUAGGGUGAAGUCGUAACAAAGUGCUUGCCA